AUUCUUUUCAAGACCCAUUUCUUGUCCCUUUGUAGACUGUCCAGCAUUUGUCUAGAUUUUUUUUUUAUAAUAAAAAAACCCUAUGAACUUGGAUCUGUUGCCUGAAGAUUUUGUUUUCACACAUGAUAUCAUCUGCUUCUCCUCGUGAUGCUCGAUGUGCUUCCCCUGUUUCCACGUUAUUGGUUAGGUCCUAAUCUGAGUCAGACACAGCGUGGCAGAGAUUAAGAAGAUAUUCUUUCCAGAUUAGCAUUCCCAUUGCCUAAUUACUCUUCAAAAAAGGAGUUGUUUUUCAGGUUAUGUAGCCCAUAUUUAAUUGAUGGGAGUAGAAAGAAGAAUCUCAUUGGAAAAUUCAACAGGUAAGAAAUGCUACAUUUUGAGUGAAAGGGAGCUUUCAAUUACGGGGGCUAACAAUUCUCUCUACUGCUCCUGGAAACCCCACAGCCAGUCAAGUUUACGCUUCACCAUAAUUUUCAGAAGAAAAUCACCACCAUAAUCCAUGGCAGAAUCAAUACCGAGAUGCUAUCUCCAAAAACAAUAUAUGGGGCCUAUCUAAUGGUUAAAUUUACUGGUCGAGCUUAUGGAUUAGACACUCUACAAUCACAAAUAUCAGAAGAAGGUGGCAACUUCAAAUCACUUGGCAAGGUUUAUUUACGCCGGCGCCAAGACAAAAAAUAAACAAGCUUGUUUCUUGAGUAGGACCAGAACUUUAAGAUCAAAAAUUCAUGAAGUGGAAGGAUGUAAUUACCUUCAAGAACGUGAAGAUGAAUGUAUUGAGAUUGAACUGGGGAGUUUUUACAAUGAUGGGGGUGAUGCUAAGGAAGUGGAGAUGUGCCAAAGAGAGGUGCCUGGUGAGCAUUUGAAAGGUGAGCUUAUUGUUGAAGGAAUUGAGCUUAGGCCUAAGAAAAUGGUGAAGGUUUGAGCUUAAUUCUUGCCCAGAUUGUGAGUUGAUAACCUCAAAUUGUGUUUUGAUCAAAAUACUGUCCCAUAUAAUUGGCAGCAAAGAUAUAUAAAGCCAUAAUGGUGACAGUAAAGUUGAAGGCUAGAAAUUAUAAUUAUCAUGGGCAUGAAUUUCCAGAAAAUGUUGCCCAAAUGAUCUCUGAAGCACAGUACUGUUGAGUGUGUUCUCGACCACAGUGUUGAAAUUGCUCCAAAACAUUCUCAUUUGAGAACCCCAAGGAUUCUGGGGCAUGUUUUUGUGACAUUUUCCUUCAUGUUCUUCAGUCUGUUUGGAUUUUUUGUAUUUUGUCUUCUGAAUUCUGGAGCCCAAGGAAGCUCGGGCUACUUCAAAUUCUUCUUCUUCUUUUUUUG